ACUAGGAUAACUAUGUGAAUGAAAAAGGACAAACAAGUAAAAUUACAAAUAAAAAAAAAAAUAAACAUAUCUAUUCAUCUUUUAUUGAAGGUAAUUCUUCAAACCCAUCUUUUACUGAACGGAACAUGCUACACGUGCACAGAGUCGAGGAAACUGGGGAAAUUGGGGCGUAGGGUUUUUGGUCGAAAUCUUCUGGAUCUCGUGGGUAGUUAGGUGGCGAUCCUUCUGGUCUCAUCCUCUCUCUCAUUGGAACCUGUUUUCUUCAUUCCCUCGUCAUGAUUUGAAGCUCGUGGUUGGGCAUAAAUGCACAGCUUCGAUGGAGAAAAUUUUGAUUUACUACAGAGUGAAAGCUUCAAUUAUAAAUCUUCUCUCUCCAUCAGUCGGUUUGGUUGGGAUUAAGAUCAAUUUGCAUCAUUUCUUUCUGUAUGAGUCGUAUCGGACAACAUCGGAGGAGAUUUGCUUCGACCCAAGCCAUGGCGGUACCCAAAUCUUAACAUGGUCUUUUUAAUAAACAUGCAAUCACCUUGGCCAUCUAUGCAAAAUGUACUUUAUUUUACCAAAAGCUAUGAAUAGAGUACUGUUGAAAAGUGUAUCAAAAGAAAGAGUUACCUUUGCUGGAAAUUCUUGGCCAUCUCUUGGAAGGUGCAUUAUACAUGUUUGCUUCAUGCAGGAUUAACAGACUGAACUCUGCGAGUUAUUUUUCUUUAAUAAGGCAAUAAUAAUGUAAUACUGAUUAUUACUGAGAAUGAAUCUUCUUCGUCUUUUUCAACAACAGUUUGUACGCUUCUUCUUUUGUUACUAGUCCUACAUGGCUUUGUCAGAGCGCUGAUCAAUCUCAAGUUGUAGACCAGUCUGGAGAGAAUGUACUCAAUUUAUUCCUCUAUUUUUCAACGACUAUAUGAAGCCCAUUGUUAAUACGAGUGAGAGCUUUGCUGCAGUUGAGACAAUCCCUCAGUUCCUGUUCUAGAGCAACAUCAAGACUAUAAUCGACAGCCACUCUAUUCUUCAGCUUCUUAUCAAAGCCAUUCUUUCCUACUAUUACUCAUGCACCACUUUAUUCCAGUUCUCAGCCUCAGGGUUAGACUUCCAGUACUCAUAGACAACUCUAUAAGAGGUUUGAAGGUAGGGAAUUGACACAUGUUCAAGGACAGUCGCCAUAUGCCUCUGGUUCUCCAUCAAAAGCCGUCUGCAUUUCUGAUCGUAAUUAGUUGUAGAUUUUAUUUCUAGGUGAAGACUUAUGAAGAGUUGAUGUUAGUUGGAAUUGGAGUUAUACUUGCAGUCUCUAUAAGUGCUCACUUUGUUCAUGUUAGUUGGAGUUGGAAAGAGUCGGUGUUAGGGCCCUGUUUAUCACUGUAUUAUCCAUAAUAAAUUUGAAUUUUUGGUCAG